AAUGGAUUUUUUGAACAGGGAGUUAGAAAAGGGGCUUGUUCCGUCCGCUUCACGCAUCGACCCGGUAUUGCAGUACCUCCGGGAACGGGGCAACACUU
rnacentral:snRNA from 8 species